UGUAAAAGAACCCUGCUGAGGAAAGUGAAUGGAGAACAAAGGAACAAAAAACUGGACAAAUACAUGCUAGGACCUCCCGUGAGGCUGGGGAAUAACUGGUGGUGACUACAAGACAAUGUAUGUUCUUCCUUUUGGUUCACCUUAACAGUUAAUUUAUGGAUGUCAACAUCUAGCAUAUGGAGAGUAAGGACAUGGACAGCAUCACGUGAUAGAGAUCUGACAAUAAGAAAAUUCUUAACAGUUCAUCCAGAUUAAGGCGCCAAGGUACUGGUGAUCUAAACUGUGUGGUAACAGGAUUUACCAUAAAGAAAAUACUGUGCAAUGGAAAGCCAGGAUCAG